UUUCCGUAGGUGAACCUGCGGAAGGAUCAUUAUUGAAUGAAACACUUCUGGCUUUAUGCUGUGUGCUGGCCCUUUGGGCAAUGUGCACACGGCUCUGGUCACUUGUUUCUUCUGUUCCACCUGUGCACUGCCUGUAGACACGCUGUGUCUAUGAUAUUUGUUAACACACAACAAUGUUAGUUGGCAUGUUAUAUAUAAUAAUAAAAUAUACAACUUUCAACAACGGAUCUCUUGGCUCUC
rnacentral:misc_RNA from 1 species